rnacentral:lncRNA from 1 species
GUGUUAUUGUUGGACGUCGGGAAGUGUAUACAACAAGGGAGAAGUCGGGUCUUGCCGGCCAUCCUCUAAACCUGGGCGAACAAGUCUCAGGCGUCAGUCAGAUGGAGCACGUCCCGCCACGAAUCUGGCACCGGCGUCCCUACAUCUGCUCACUACCAACUUGGUAGAGCCUCUGUUUCACUCGAGCUAACGCGUCAGCUACAGCAACGCUCGAGUCAGACCUGCACCCGCCCAAGCGUCUGAGAAGCCCAGGCAUCCUCUUCUGUCUGUGUCCAUGUGAUAGCAGUCCAUCUCCAGGUCGCCCUCUUCAAAAGAGGGCGUUGACAGUGGAGACGUGCGGUCCUGGCGGUCCAGCAUAGGUCCUGCCACUACUGAAGAGAGAACCAAACCAGCGUCUUAAUCACACCCAACUUGCGGCAAGAAAUUUUCUCUCGUUGCACUGGAAGAAGCCAACGGUCUCGCUGCACCUUCCAUGGAGGAAUUGGACCCUGCCUCGCACCAGCUCUGCCAUGGUAACGUACUGCCAUCAAGGGAGGACACUGCCUCGCUGCACCUUCCAUGGAGGAAUUGGACCCUGCCUCGCACCAACUCUGCCAUGAUAACGUGCUGCCAUCAAGGGAGGACACUGCCUCGCUGCACCUUCCAUGGAGGAAUUGGACCCUGUCUCGCACCAACUCUGCCCUGAUAACGUGCUGCCAUCAAGGGAGGACACUGCCUCGCUGCACCUUCCAUGGAGGAAUUGGACCCUGCCUCGCAUCAGCGCUGCCCUGACAAGUGGUGCCAUCCAGGAAGAGAUGACAUAUUAUAUUGCCUUGCUUCAUCUAACCUAACCUAACAAAUACAUGUUGCGAAUCACUCUUGUAAUGUUAUUCCUUCCAUGUUCUGAUGUGCCCACAUAACUGGUGUUAUACUUUAAUAAUAAAUAAAGAUUAAGGAAAUUGA